UUGCUAUGAGCUGUUUUAGCGGCGGACGGGUGAGUAACACGUGAGCAAUCUGCCUUUCAGAGGGGGAUACCGAUUGGAAACGAUCGUUAAUACCGCAUAACAUAAUUGAACCGCAUGAUUUGAUUAUCAAAGAUUUAUCGCUGAAAGAUGAGCUCGCGUCUGAUUAGCUAGUUGGUAAGGUAACGGCUUACCAAGGCGACGAUCAGUAGCCGGACUGAGAGGUUGAUCGGCCACAUUGGGACUGAGACACGGCCCAGACUCC
rnacentral:rRNA from 1 species